GAUGAACGCUGGCGGCGUGCCUAAUACAUGCAAGUCGAGCGAACGGACGAGAAGCUUGCUCCUCUGAUGUUAGCGGCGGACGGGUGAGUAACACGUGGAUAACCUACCUAUAAGACUGGGAUAACUUCGGGAAACCGUAGCUAAUACCGGAUAAUAUUUUGAACCGCAUGGUUCAAAAGUGAAAGACGGUCUUGCUGUCACUUAUAGAUGGAUCCGCGCUGCAUUAGCUAGUUGGUAAGGUAACGGCUUACCAAGGCAACGAUGCAUAGCCGACCUGAGAGGGUGAUCGGCCACACUGGAACUGAGACACGGUCCAGACUCCUACGGGAGGCAGCAGUAGGGAAUCUUCCGCAAUGGGCGAAAGCCUGACGGAGCAACGCCGCGUGAGUGAUGAAGGUCUUCGGAUCGUAAAACUCUGUUAUUAGGGAAGAACAUAUGUGUAAGUAACUAUGCACAUCUUGACGGUACCUAAUCAGAAAGCCACGGCUAACUACGUG
rnacentral:rRNA from 1 species